CGGAUUUGAUUCAAGAAUCAUUCCCUGAGCUUUAUAGCCUACUAGGACAAAAUAUCACCAAACAUGAAAAUCUUAUUCAAGAUCCAGAAGAUGUUGUUGAUCCAUCAGUGAACGGUUAUGAACCAGAAACCGGACAUCAUCUUCCUGCUGAAAUUGUACAAGAGGACUGUUCAUCAAACAGCAGUUUAUUUUCUGACAAUGAUCUGGAUAAUCCCACUUAUGUACCCCAGGAGAGUUCAGAAAGUGAAAUAUCUUUUAGUGAUGUCAUUGAGAUAUCACAACCUACAACAUUUGAUACAAAUACCGUACC
rnacentral:misc_RNA from 1 species